UACGUAGGGUGCGAGCGUUAAUCGGAAUUACUGGGCGUAAAGCGUGCGCAGGCGGUUUGCUAAGACCGAUGUGAAAUCCCCGGGCUUAACCUGGGAACUGCAUUGGUGACUGGCAGGCUAGAGUAUGGCAGAGGGGGGUAGAAUUCCACGUGUAGCAGUGAAAUGCGUAGAUAUCAGGAGGAACACCGAUGGCGAAGGCAGGUCUCUGGGCUGACACUGACGCUCAUGCACGAAAGCGUGGGGAGCAAACAGG
rnacentral:rRNA from 1 species